UCUCUCUCUCUCUCUCUAACACCACCACACAUCUCCUCCUUUCUUCUUCUCCAUGCAAACCGACGCUUCAUCGAGGAGCUCCUCGCCUUCGCCAUGGCCGCCUUCCUACUCCGAUCCAUCUCGCAGAACGGAGAUGAUGAGCAGCAGCUGCUGGUGGUGGUGGUGACACCUGACACGGCAAUGCGGCGGCGGUCGAGGGAUUAAACCGGCCUAAAACGUAUCCAUUCCGCGGCAUACAAGGGCAGGCCAGGCAUCUGAUUUCCUACCUACAUUACUACUACUAGUCUACUACUGCUACUACUACAUAUUAUCAUUUCCUAGCUAGCUAUUAGUUCACUUCUCGAUCGUUUUGGUGUUAGCUUAAGCUUUCUUGAUUUCUUUUGCUGCCUUAGCUUUUUCUUUUUUUUCCUUUGCGGCGACAUUGUUGCAGAGGGCGCUGUGAAAUGUGAAUAACCUCUCGCGUUUUGGAUGAUGAGUCGUCGCUCGCGUUGGUCGAUUGAUCUCUGUAUCGUUUUUCCUGUGGUGAGAAUUGAGGUUGGUGAUCUGC
rnacentral:sRNA from 1 species